rnacentral:rRNA from 1 species
CAGCAGUAGGGAAUCUUCCACAAUCGGGCGCAAGCCUGAUGGAGCAACACCGCGUGAGUGAAGAAGGGUUUCGGCUCGUAAAGCUCUGUUGUUAAAGAAGAACACGUAUGAGAGUAACUGUUCAUACGUUGACGGUAUUUAACCAGAAAGUCACGGCUAACUACGUGCCAGCAGCCGCGGUAAUACGUAGGUGGCAAGCGUUAUCCGGAUUUAUUGGGCGUAAAGAGAGUGCAGGCGGUUUUCUAAGUCUGAUGUGAAAGCCUUCGGCUUAACCGGAGAAGUGCAUCGGAAACUGGAUAACUUGAGUGCAGAAGAGGGUAGUGGAACUCCAUGUGUAGCGGUGGAAUGCGUAGAUAUAUGGAAGAACACCAGUGGCGAAGGCGGCUACCUGGUCUGCAACUGACGCUGAGACUCGAAAGCAUGGGUAGCGAACAGGAUUAGAUACCCUGGUAG